rnacentral:misc_RNA from 1 species
AGCUGAGCUAUCCCGACUAUUCUAGCGUAGUAAUCUUGAUUAUUUUAGUCGAUGGCUGGGGUAUAUGUCAAUUAAAGGGAAAUGGGGGAUUACAAAUUUUUAUCCAACUACUUAAAUUUUUUUUAUCUUAAAAAAGACUACUUUUAAGGUUUCAAUAUUCGUAAUAUUGAUUGUGAAUCAUUUCAAUCAGGAUUAUGUGCUAAAUUCGGAUGUGUAUUCUAUAUCACAUAGGAGAAUAGAAAGUCAUUUAGGCCCAACUACGGUUGUCAAAGAAGCAUAAAAAUCAAGCAAUUUGAAACCGAAAGGGAGAGGGUAGGAUAAAGAUUUCAGGAAUCAAAUAGUUUGUUGGGGAUAGACUUGACCUCACGAUUUUAAAAGUCAACGGAUUUUCUCUUACAUAAAUUCAUUGUUGCAGUAUUGACAUGUAGAAGGGGACUCUAUCUUUAUUCUUGUCCGAUUGAUCCAUUGGUUAAAAGUUUAUCGAACGAUGGAGUGAAUGAUUUGAUAAAAACAAAUUAGAUCUUUCCUUCAAUGGUGAAUGAAUUUACACCAACGCUUCUUCUUCUAUUUUUCAUAUAAAAAAAUAUAUCUAGAAAUUUCGGCCAUCAUUAAGCAUUUGCUAUGGUAUUCAAUAGAUAAGUUUAUCCUUUCAGACGCUUUUUUUGAUAGAAAGAUUCCUCUACCAGUGCCCCCAUUUGUUAGAACAGCUUCCAUUGAGUCUCUGGACCUAUCCUUGUUUUUUUUAACAAAACAGGAUUUGGCUCAGGAUUGCCCUUUUUUUAAUUCCGGGUUUCCCUGAAUUGAAGUUCUCACUUAGUAGGUUUCCAUAC